AUCGCUAAGGAGAAACUUCGGAGCAAAAACAAAGGACCCUUCGGAACAGAUGAAAAGAUACAUUUUCUCACAAAAUGCGACAAUUUGACAGGAAGUUCUUUGAUGAGUGGGUGAAUGAAUCGACUGCAAUUUUGGGAGAAAAAAAACGACUGACAGCUGCUCACUAGCAGGCUAGUAAUAAUAAGAUGAACUUUCGAAGAGACCCAUUGACUCAUUCUGUAACUGCGAUUCAGCUCAAUUUUACCAGAAUGAGAUCCACCGACACCAGCAACAUACACUGCUCCUCGACUCACUCUUAUGCUCAACACUCCAUUUUGGAACGAUUGUUGCGUGGGCUUAUAGAAGAAAAAUUAAUUGAUCCUAAGCUUUGUGCGAGUUCGGGUGUUCGGUUAAAUUUAGUGAAUAAUUUAGCUGGCGGAGUUAGUUUUGAUAGGGCAUCGAUAGGCUGUGUUAAUGUGAGUAGCUCAUCCGAUGUGAAUGGCGAGAAAAAGUACUCAGGAAAUACACCAUCCGAUUAAAUUGUUGGAAGAACUUUUUAACCGUGGAUUGCUAUCCGAGGAGACCGGUUGGGCGCAUCUGAAGAGGGAAAUCGAGAAUAGUCUUGAGAAUUUAAGGCGAGCUCUCGAGGCUGAGAUUCUGCGCUCUGAGGAUAUACGCAACAAAUUUGAAAAUUUCGACAACACCAAGCCGUUUUCAUCGCUCUGUAGAGCACUCGCCGAUGCUACCGCUUGCGAUGAAAAAAGCAAUCAAGUGUUCCUUAGCAGUGGAAUAAGAGAUGUGCUGACAUAUAUUAUAAUCCAACUAUAGAACGGCCCAAUCUGUUUGAAAAAUCAGCCUCUGAAAAAUCUGACAUAUAUUAUAUCCUUUAGAGGGGCUCUUCAAAAUCAGCAGCGAUUUCUUCUGGCAGGCAAAAGGCUGAUUUUUCAAACAGAUUGGGCCGUUCUAUAGUUGGAUUAUAAUAUAUGUCAGCACAUCUCUUAUUCCGACAGCCUUGAGUAAUAGUGCUUUCCGAGGGUCUGACGUCGAAAAAUAUACGGUUGUUUGUGUGCAGGGCCCCCCAGAUGCUGCACAAUUUACUGUCAUCACAUGGAACGUCCGGCCGUCCUUCGUGCUAGCUGAGAGGAGGGUGCCAUCUCACACCUCCAUCAACCUAUCCGCAAAGUUCUCCGGGAGCAUUACUGCGACGGUGUCUUAACUGAUGAGGACGGCCGGUACUUCGUUACUUUCCGGGGAGUAACAGCUUUGGUGGGUGAUCCUCCUAUUCCCGGAUGAAAUUGUGCUUCAUCCGGGAGGACCUGCAUCAACCAGUCCUUUUAAGUGUUUUCGGAGACGAGGCGGAGAGGUAGCAGAGGGCGGGAAUGUCGCAAAUUUUGACCGAACGCGGGUCCCAAGUACUUCAUAGUAAAUAAAUUUACUAUUCAACAAAACGAACAAUUUCAACAAUUAGGCUGCAGGUAUGGACAUGUGCGAAGGAUGGCAGACGAUCGGUUGCCCAAGCAUGUUUUCGAUUGGGUUCUAGCCUGGGACCGAGUCCACGGUCGCGGUGUCCACAAGUCCAUUAACGAUGUCUAUUAAAUCGAUUGUUAUUAAAUAUUGUACCAACAUAAAUUGUGUAGUUCCUUAGCAUGAGUGGUUCUUGCACUUGCCACUGUCUAUCUAAGUGUACCUCCUUUAAUUUCAUCAGUCGCACUGUACUCGGGAUAUUUGGGUAGAUACUCGGGUACAUAUUCUUGCAACGAGCCAAGCUCGGUCAGUCGAUAGACGUGGCCUGAGAUAUCGGCGUGAGUUCCAGCCACUAUCUGUCGUUGAAGCUCACGCUCGAAAUCCCCGGACGCAUAUUAGUCGAUUAAUCGUUAGGACAUGUCAAGCUGGAAAAAAAUUUAAAAAAUUACUCCGAAAAUUAAUUUUUUUAAAAUAACCCACUUCUUGCACUACUCCGGCGGCAAACUAGCGUUCUUCGAUGCAUGGUGGUUCGCAUUAAACGCAGUUGGCCCGAAGAGUAUAAUUGCCAAACUUGGUUAUAAAUGUUCACUAUAAAAAGAUUACGGAUUGCCUUGCGGUUGAAGUUGCUGCAUCUGGUUUUCCGGCACCAGCGGUUGCUCUUGUAAUAAGUUAUUGGCUGUUCUUCUCCGUUUUCACCGAUGAGAACGCCUUAAAACUCUACGUAUAUAUAUGGAUGGUUUCUUCGAACAAAUAGGUACUUUUGGAUGAGCCAGAAAUAUUAGUUUCUCCUUGCAAAAUGCAGUUCAAUUCUAUUUAACAUAAAUUCCGCACAUGGUGUCUUACAGUACUUAUAGUGCACUCCAAAUCUUACCUUGACAGGUUUAAUCUUUGUGUUAACUGUUAACAAUUAUUUUGGUCCCAGUCCAACACUUACCAUCUCGAAUCAGAGAAACUAUUUUUGCCUAUCUCGCUUGUUGAAGGAAUUUUAUACGUCCGGUAAUCAGUAUGAUGAAGGUAUAGUUACAUUGCUUGAAAUGGCCACGGCACCUUUGAUUUAUGUGAAGAGAUAAUCAUAAAAUUAAAUGUUGAAAGUAAUGACACUAAGUAUGAUCAAUCUUGGUGUCGCAAUAUCAGCAAUUGACGGCUUUUUAUUGUGUAAAUGCUCUGUAUUUGCUGGUUGAAAAUAAGUAAUUCCCAGCUUCCUCCUCAACUCACUUCGUUUUUAAUUUUGUAUUUUUGGGCUGAUUAUCGUACAAUAUAAUCUUGAGUUGUGCUAAAACUUUUAAGUUUCUAUCUGAAUCUUCACGAUUCUGGUGAGGUUCCGUGAUGCAUUUUGCUAUGCAUCAUGAUUUUGUUUACUAGCGGAAUGCUUCAAUAAAAACAUAAGAAAAGCAACAGAGUUAUUUUUAUUUUUAUUUUUAUUUUAUUUUAUUUUAUUUUAUUUUAUUUUAUUUUAUUUUAUUUUAUUUUAUUUUAUUUUAUUUUAUUUUAUUUUAUUUUAUUUUAUUUUAUUUUAUUUUAUUUUAUUUUAUUUUUGUUCAAUCGAGAGUUAACCGCGCAUAUUUUCACAUUUUUUAAUUUAAUGGAGCUUACUUCUAUUCUGCCGUGCUAAGGAAGAACGCCGUAUGAACCUUUGGGCGUUGCCGAAUUUCUAUUGAUGAAACACGAAUUUCCUGGUGAACAUAUGAAUAUUUUCCUUCUAAUUUCUCAGAUAUUUUUGUUCGCAAUUUUACCUGAAGUUCCUGAAAAUUUCAAGGAAAAAUAUUCAUAAUUUUCCUAAAAAAUAAACAUCUUAUUAAAGGAAAUUUGGCAACCCUUAAAUGUUCAUACGGCGUUCUUCCUUAGCACGGCAUUAUUACACGAGCAAUCCACGUGAUAUUUUGCGCCUCUGCGUGAUACACAUUCUCCAGAAAAUUUAGCCUCUGUUCCUCACUCCUCAUUUUUGAGAGAAUCGGGCGAAACAUAAAAUUUCGUAGAACCAGAAAAAACAUUCGCCCCUUCCAAUUCCUCUCCUUUUCUACUGUCCCCGUUUUCCCCCUCAAUGCAUUUUCAAAUACAGUUUUCCCGCUCUCCUGCACGGCAACCAUAGCUCUGCCGUGCUAAGGAAAACGUCGUAUAAACCUUUAGGCGCUGCCAAAUUUCCUUUUGGAAUACAAAUUUACUGGAAGUGUUGUAAACAAUUUUCUUUCAAUUUUUUAGAGAAUAUUGUUGGCACUUAAAUCUAAAAUAUGUGAAAACCUCAAAGGAAAAUAUGCGCAACUUUCUUUCAAAAGAACCAUUUUAUUGGAGGAAAUAAUGUGGCAACACUCGAAUAUUCAUACGGCGUUUUUUCUUAGCACGGCAGUGCAGCUGUUUUUCACGGUUCAAGUUCAAUUCCCCGAUGCGAACUUUUCUCGUAGUUGUCGUGGUGAUGGAGGCACUGACAGGACAGAACUCGGGCACACAUUGGUUCGUACAAAAUUCCCAUUUUUAUUUCCCCAUUAAACUGGAUGGCAUUAAAAUGGAUCUGCAGUGCGUAUUUGAGAACGAUUCGAUAGUCGAUUGAUUGAUCGCUAAUUUUUGAACUUUGAAACAUUAUUCAAACAUUUUUGGACUUUUAAACAAUGCUCAAACAUUUUUGAACUUUGAAACAAUAUUCAAACGUUUUUGAACUUUGGAACAUUGUUCAAACAUUUUUGAACGUCACGUCGCGCUAUACUUCCGCGCUAAGGAAAAAUGCCGUAUGAGCAUUCGAAAUUUGCGAAACCUCCUCUCAGAAAAUAUUUAUUUUUGAAGGAUGUUGCGGAUAAUUUCAUUUGAAAUUUUCAAACUUUUCAGAUCAAAUUACGAACGAAAUCCUUUGAAAAUCGGAAGAAAAAUAUUCACAAAUUUUCCUGCAAAUUCGAUUUGGCAACGUCUGAUAGCUCAUACGGCGUUCUUCCUUAGUACGGCAGGCACUCGCUCACAAGAUUUGAACGAGAAAAACUUUGAAAG
rnacentral:lncRNA from 1 species